CGGGACACGUGGUAUCCUGUCUGAAUAUGGGGGGACCAUCCUCCAAGGCUAAAUACUCCUGACUGACCGAUAGUGAACCAGUACCGUGAGGGAAAGGCGAAAAGAACCCCGGCGAGGGGAGUGAAAAAGAACCUGAAACCGUGUACGUACAAGCAGUGGGAGCACGCUUAGGCGUGUGACUGCGUACCUUUUGUAUAAUGGGUCAGCGACUUAUAUUCUGUAGCAAGGUUAACCGAAUAGGGGAGCCGAAGGGAAACCGAGUCUUAACUGGGCGUUAAGUUGCAGGGUAUAGACCCGAAACCCGGUGAUCUAGCCAUGGGCAGGUUGAAGGUUGGGUAACACUAACUGGAGGACCGAACCGACUAAUGUUGAAAAAUUAGCGGAUGACUUGUGGCUGGGGGUGAAAGGCCAAUCAAACCGGGAGAUAGCUGGUUCUCCCCGAAAGCUAUUUAGGUAGCGCCUCGUGAAUUCAUCUCCGGGGGUAGAGCACUGUUUCGGCAAGGGGGUCAUCCCGACUUACCAACCCGAUGCAAACUGCGAAUACCGGAGAAUGUUAUCACGGGAGACACACGGCGGGUGCUAACGUCCGUCGUGAAGAGGGAAACAACCCAGACCGCCAGCUAAGGUCCCAAAGUCAUGGUUAAGUGGGAAACGAUGUGGGAAGGCCCAGACAGCCAGGAUGUUGGCUUAGAAGCAGCCAUCAUUUAAAGAAAGCGUAAUAGCUCACUGGUCGAGUCGGCCUGCGCGGAAGAUGUAACGGGGCUAAACCAUGCACCGAAGCUGCGGCAGCGACGCUGAUGCGUUGUUGGGUAGGGGAGCGUUCUGUAAGCCUGUGAAGGUGUGCUGUGAGGCAUGCUGGAGGUAUCAGAAGUGCGAAUGCUGACAUAAGUAACGAUAAAGCGGGUGAAAAGCCCGCUCGCCGGAAGACCAAGGGUUCCUGUCCAACGUUAAUCGGGGCAGGGUGAGUCGACCCCUAAGGCGAGGCCGAAAGGCGUAGUCGAUGGGAAACAGGUUAAUAUUCCUGUACUUGGUGUUACUGCGAAGGGGGGACGGAGAAGGCUAUGUUGGCCGGGCGACGGUUGUCCCGGUUUAAGCGUGUAGGCUGGUUUUCCAGGCAAAUCCGGAAAAUCAAGGCUGAGGCGUGAUGACGAGGCACUACGGUGCUGAAGCAACAAAUGCCCUGCUUCCAGGAAAAGCCUCUAAGCAUCAGGUAACAUCAAAUCGUACCCCAAACCGACACAGGUGGUCAGGUAGAGAAUACCAAGGCGCUUGAGAGAACUCGGGUGAAGGAACUAGGCAAAAUGGUGCCGUAACUUCGGGAGAAGGCACGCUGAUAUGUAGGUGAAGCGACUUGCUCGUGGAGCUGAAAUCAGUCGAAGAUACCAGCUGGCUGCAACUGUUUAUUAAAAACACAGCACUGUGCAAACACGAAAGUGGACGUAUACGGUGUGACGCCUGCCCGGUGCCGGAAGGUUAAUUGAUGGGGUCAGCGCAAGCGAAGCUCUUGAUCGAAGCCCCGGUAAACGGCGGCCGUAACUAUAACGGUCCUAAGGUAGCGAAAUUCCUUGUCGGGUAAGUUCCGACCUGCACGAAUGGCGUAAUGAUGGCCAGGCUGUCUCCACCCGAGACUCAGUGAAAUUGAACUCGCUGUGAAGAUGCAGUGUACCCGCGGCAAGACGGAAAGACCCCGUGAACCUUUACUAUAGCUUGACACUGAACAUUGAGCCUUGAUGUGUAGGAUAGGUGGGAGGCUUUGAAGUGUGGACGCCAGUCUGCAUGGAGCCGGCCUUGAAAUACCACCCUUUAAUGUUUGAUGUUCUAACGUUGACCCGUGAUCCGGGUUGCGGACAGUGUCUGGUGGGUAGUUUGACUGGGGCGGUCUCCUCCUAAAGAGUAACGGAGGAGCACGAAGGUUGGCUAAUCCUGGUCGGACAUCAGGAGGUUAGUGCAAUGGCAUAAGCCAGCUUGACUGCGAGCGUGACGGCGCGAGCAGGUGCGAAAGCAGGUCAUAGUGAUCCGGUGGUUCUGAAUGGAAGGGCCAUCGCUCAACGGAUAAAAGGUACUCCGGGGAUAACAGG
rnacentral:rRNA from 1 species